rnacentral:rRNA from 1 species
GGAGGUCCCGAGCGUUGUUCGGAAUUAUUGGGCUUAAAGCGCGUGUAGGCGGGAUGGCAAGUACCUUGUGAAAGCCCCGGACUCAAUCCGGGAACUGCUCGGUAUACUGCCGUUCUCGAGGCAGGUAGGGGUCACUGGAACCUUAGGUGGAGCGGUGAAAUGCGUAGAUAUCUAAGGGAACGCCUGUGGCGAAAGCGGGKGACUGGGCCUGUCCUGACGCUGAGACGCGAAAGCGUAGGGAGCAAACGGGAUUAGAUACCCCGGUAGUCUACGCCGUAAACGAUGCGCACUAGGUUCGAAUUUCUCUGACGAAGGUCGAGCCGAAAUAAAAACGAUAAGUGCGCCGCCUGGGGAGUACGGCCGCAAGGCUA